AAUAGAUACCCGGGUAGUCCAUGCUGUAAACGAUGAGUGCUCAUAUUUAGAAAAUUUUAGAUAUCAAGCUAACGCGUUAAGCACUCCGCCUGAAAAGUAUAGUCGCAAGACUGAAAUUCAAAGGAAUUGACGGGAGCUUACACAAGCGGUGGAGCAUGUGGUUUAAUUCGAUAAUACGCGCAGAACCUUACCAACUCUUGAAAAUGAAAAUAAAAAAUAUAUUAAUUUAUUUAUCACAGGCGUUGCAUGGCUGUCGUCAGCUCGUGUUUUGAAAUGUUUGGUUAAAUCCUUUAACGAGCGUAACCCCUAUCGUUAGUUGCCAUUUAAUUAUAAUUAUAUUUUUAAUUAAAGCACUCUAAAUGAAAAUGUCAGCGAUAUGUUGAAGGAAGGUGGGGAUGACGUCAAGUCUUCAUGGCCCUUAUGGGUUGGGCUACACACGUGCUACAAUGGUAAUUACAAUAAGAGGCAAUAAAUGUUUAAAAAAAUUGGAGCAAAAUCUAGAAAAAAUUAUCUCAGUUCGGAAUUAUGGGCUGCAACUCGCCCAUAAUGAAGGUU
rnacentral:rRNA from 1 species